rnacentral:tRNA from 2 species
GCGCGAGUAGUUCAGUUGGUAGAACACCAGCUUCCCAAGCUGGGUGUCGCGGGUUCGAGUCCCGUCUCGCGCU